AUGCCUUGGAGCUCCUGCUAUGUGGCUGUGGUUCUGGUCUUCUUUCCUGUACUUAAAUCUCGUGUUCUUAUGUUUUUUUGGUGGGCUUUCAAGCCACUUGUGUUUGCAUUUUGUCCAAAACUCAUGAAGAUUGAAGUUAUACUUGUAGCUUAUAGGUUUGCAGUUUUUCAAUUCAGUCUACGUUCUACUAAUACCAGUGUGGAGUACAAUGGCUCCUACGGCUCGGCUUCGCGGCCGGGAUCAGGCAUCGCUGGAUCGGUGGCACCAAAGGACGUGUUUGAGGGUGGCUUCUGCUUGUUCAUGAAGGCAACUAAGAAGGAGAAUUUGAUUAAAUUUCUUGAAGGAAAGAAAUAUUUUAUUUUCAGGCAGAAUUUUCAGAGUUUACAUUUGACAAUAUCUUCUCCUGCCAUUGCCAUAUGCCGAUAUGGUUAUAACUCAUAUCAGAAAGGCAAGUUCUUGUCAAAGGAAAUCUUCACCUACGUAAAGGACUGGCUAAGUUUUGUUGUUCGUUCCCGUUCUCGGGUGCUGUCCGGUGGGUCAGUUGUGCUCUUCAGCGCCUUCGUCUUUGUUGUCUCCUACACCUUUGCCUACACCCUCACCCACUACCACGGCUCCCGCAGCAAGAUGCUGGAGGAGACUAACCGUACUACCGAUGAUAACACGCUUCUUGCUUUGGUCCAGUUCGAGGCUGGCUGCAGCCACGACAUCGACGGCAUCCAUAACAAUCGCGGAUCCUUCGACAUCUGGAUUGACCGCUGCUCCGUCGUCGACUACGAUGGCGGGCUCAUCGACAUCAUGCGCCAGAGCAUCUACAUUGCUUGUCUCCAGGUCGUUCCCUUCUCUGUUAUUUGUCCCUGCUACUAAGUCACUCACAUGCUUGGUUUCUCUCAACAAGUAUCGUUGAUUAGAUGGGAUCACUGUGUUGUCUGAUGAAAAUAAACGUGUGUGUAUGUGAUUGCAUUUUUUGCAUGAUUGAUAUAUAAUGGUUGCUCCAAUGUACACUGGGUAUGCAUGUAUUCUCCACGAACUUAGAAUUGGCACUCUCUUUUAGACCAGCUCUUCAUUCUUGUAUUUAAGUUGGUACUAAAUCUGGAAGAGGUUUAUUGUAGGUUGAUGUCUUUUCCAUCUCAUAUUUUUCAUCCAUGUGAUACGAACAAAUGCACAUGAUAAAGAGGAGAAUCUUUUCAUGAGCUUCACCAGCCAUUGUACAGAAUAUACAAUGCUGUUUUCUUAUGCAUUUUAAUUACAUUUACAGCUGUAAGUUUGUGAUGAUACAAACGGAAGUUGCAUACAGAGUUUCUUAUAUAUACUAUUGUUCUAUCCAUGCUUAACAUAUAAAAAUUUCUGUUCUGUUCAUACUAUUUAACAGUCAGCAGUUUAGUCAUCUUACAAAAGUAGACUGUACAUACUCAAAUCAUCAACUAGACACCAGAAAUAUUGACUUCUCUUUGCUCUUUCAUCAGCCAUUUUACUUUAGCAUUCAUAAAUUUGGGUCCUCAAGACAUGUACUCAAUAACAGUACUUUGCUAUCACCAUUAAUAUCAUUAAUAUCCAUAGAACACGCUCUUAUCUUCCAUAUCACACAACAAUUUCUGUCCAUGUAAAUAACUUGCUUUCUUCUACCAG
rnacentral:rRNA from 1 species